AGUGAACGCUGGCGGCAGGCCUAACACAUGCAAGUCGAACGGCAGCACAAGAGAGCUUGCUCUCUGGGUGGCGAGUGGCGGACGGGUGAGGAAUGCAUCGGAAUCUGCCCAUUUGUGGGGGAUAACCUCGGGAAACCGGGGCUAAUACCGCAUACGACCUACGGGUGAAAGCAGGGGAUCUUCGGACCUUGCGCAGAUGGAUGAGCCGAUGCCGGAUUAGCUAGUUGGAGGGGUAAAGGCCCACCAAGGCGACGAUCCGUAGCUGGUCUGAGAGGAUGAUCAGCCACACUGGGACUGAGACACGGCCCAGACUCCUACGGGAGGCAGCAGUGGGGAAUAUUGGACAAUGGGCGCAAGCCUGAUCCAGCCAUGCCGCGUGUGUGAAGAAGGCCUUCGGGUUGUAAAGCACUUUUGUUGGGAAAGAAAAGCAGCCGGUUAAUACCCGGUUGUCAUGACGGUACCCAAAGAAUAAGCACCGGCUAACUUCGUG
rnacentral:rRNA from 1 species